GUGACAUAAACUUAUGAGCAAGGAAAUAAUGAUUUGGGGUGACACCCGAAUCCUCACUGCUUAUAUGAGAUGAAUUUUUGAGUGGGCAAAGGUCGCUCCCCC
rnacentral:snRNA from 1 species